UAGGCACUACUUUGCAUGAAGAAAAGAAUAGAUAUAAGAGUAGAAUUAGAAGGAAAUUAGAGACGCGUUAGAGAAUCUAACGCUAGUAUUAGAAGAAUUGUGCAAGAGGUGAACAGGACGUUGAAUUGAUAACAGCCAAGCUUAACUAUAAACAGCCGGUUUGUUUUAUGCCCAUUCAGCUUGUUAAAGGCUUACCUCCCAUUGGGUGGAGAUUAAAACGUCAUUCAUUUUGCUUGAUAUUAUUGGCUAUGGAAAUCUAUGACGUAUGCCUCGACACCUCUCGGACAAUCCUCAAGUCACUUUUAGAGGAGUAGCAGCCAGUCACCAAGAUAGUACAGACGCACAACCCGUGUCGCUCUGACUUGAGUUACUCAAAGACUUAGACUCUGAUCAAGACGCAAGAGUCUUAAUAACUUUGCUUAUAAUCUUAGUCGUGUGAUUGAGUAGUUAAGAAGUGCACUGUUGUUGAGCUGUAAAGACAAUUUAUAUUUUCUAAAUAAACUGCAACACGCCAGACUAACUUUGAUAACCCACUUGCACAAGGAAGUUGUGAGUGAUGAUUAUCGAGAAAUAAAAUCAUCGUCUCCGAUACCAAGCUACGCCCACCGACACAUAGUCGCCACAGAGGCUAGAGACAGUGUACAUACAAAUACAUGACAACACAGUGGUGCCAAACAUACAGUGGUGGCACUACAGUGGUGUUCAGCUUAUUGGGAUUCUGAAGCCUAAACAACCUCCGAAGAGUAAGAAGAGUUUACAAACAUUAGAAACAAACAGCAGCAACGGAAACAACAGCAAUAACGCUUCCCCAGCCAACACAGUGAGUCAAGGUCAACCCCACAAGUGUGCACAAGUCCCGCACCGCGCAGCACCGCGCCACACCUCAUCACACUCCCGAGCAACUACUCACACGAUCAAACUCUAGAGUAACUCUCAAUUAAUACCACCAAACAACGAGACCAAUAUCUAAAUACUAAGAAGAGACUUAGAAGAGGAAACCGCAGCCAGAGACGAGAGCAGGAUCAGCGCCGCCCCAGCAACCGCCGCACACAGCCAUCAGCCACAGCACGCCGCCACCAGCAGCCGCUGCACACAGCCAUCAGCCACAGCACGCCGCCACUAGCAGCCGCCGCUCAAGAGGACAUCGCUACUCACUUGUCUAUACUUUGUUUGUGUAUGCCUGAGGAAUGACUGAGCACGAAGAAACAUUGAGUAUAACUGCCUUAUUGUAGAGCGUCUCCCAACAUUAUCACACGCACUAAUCAUCAUAGGACAAGGUAAAGAUGAAACAAGUGGCAUGCAUGUUCUCAGCUAUAGUAGUUCUAGCAACAGCCUGGGACCCUGUGAGGCCCGGAGCUUUAGUAAGGAAAAUCGGCGACAUGAUCAUUGUGAACCAAUCAGUAAGAGUACUAUUGAAAUUUGACAAUAUAAAUGUUGUAAGAGAAAAUGUCAGACAUAUCAAUAAUGGGUUACAGAUGGUAAAAGACAAAUUGAUAAUCAGUGAGAUAUCCAAUGUGAGAUUAGAGAAGAAAUUAGAUGCUAUACAGACGAAGGUCACCAAAAUAGAAAAUAACUUCCUACAUAGCAAAAGCAAAAGAGGAGUAGGUAUCGCAAUAGCGAUCGGAUCGUUAGUAGGUCUUGGAGUAACAAAUAUUGGUUUGUAUGCAGAACUUCGCUCAAAUGUAAAUAAUCUACAAAACUCAGUGUCUAGAAUCGAUGUCUUACAAGAAGAAACAGAAGAUAUACAACUUACCAUAGAUGAGAUGAUUAAUAGCAUAGAAACCUUAAGUACAGAGAACUCUAAUUUGAAGGAAUCCCUGGAAAUUUUCAUGGUCUUGGAUCAGUUGCACAUUAAGAUAAAUGAACUAAAUGCUGAAAUGGAACAGUUAAUUCAAGACUUAGUUAUGGCUAAUGCUGGACAUGUUACAUACACAUUAUUUUCAAUAUCACAACUUCUAAACAUAACUCAACAAGCAAAAUAUGAGUGGAAUUUUCAACCUUUCUUUGAUUCAAAUAAUAUUGCUCUAUAUUAUCCCAUUCUUAAUUCAUUCAUAAAUGAUACUGGAGUACUCAUUGACAUACCAUUUUCAUCAGAAUUGAAAUAUCACAUGUAUAAUCUGAUUCCUUUCCCAAUGAAAUUUAAUAGUUCCAUUAUAACAGUUGAUACUGAUAUAACAUCUCCAACAAAUUACAUCCUAUCCAUAAAUGGUUUGAAAGAAAGUGUUAUAGUAAAUGAUGAUCUAUUGAACUGUAAGAAAACUAACGUAGACCUGUACAUUUGCUCAGCUACUUAUUUUAUUUUCAAUGAAGCAUUGAGUCACUCAUGUGCCGCAUCCUUGGUGAAAAAUAUAUCCAUUGUACGUAAUUGUCAUUUUAAGGAAGAAACUCCCAUAACACGUCAUGAAACUAUCCAGGAAUCUCACUACUUAUAUUUUCCAAACAAGACAACUGUAUCAGUCAUAUGCCCAGGAUUUCAACCUCAGAUAGCAUCAAUAGAAGGCUUAUAUCGUGUACCAGAUCAAUGUGAACUUCAUAGCCCCACACUCACAACAGUAGCAAAUAGGAAAAAGACUAUUGUACUUAAUAGAGAAAAUGUUUUACAGGACAUUACUAUGAAAUUCCCAGACAGAGCUCCUCCUUUGAAAAUCAGAAAGAUUAACAAGAAAAGACUUGUAAAGCAAGUGUCAAAAACACACACAGGUACUAUGUGGUAUAUAAUAUAUGUACUUCCAUUUGUCUUGAUAGUCACAUUGAGCACAAUAUCAAUGAUACUUAUGUACAAGAAACUCAAGAAUUCAUCCAUCGAAAUGAAACACAUUUCCGAGCCGUAACCCUGUAAUAGGUAUGUAAAGAACAGCAAGCAUGAAAUACUGUAAAUAGAAUUUAUUGCAUAACAAUUUUGUCGGGACGACAAACGGUAGCUGCCGAGCCCUGUAAUAGGCACUACUUUGCAUGAAGAAAAGAAUAGAUAUAAGAGUAGAAUUAGAAGGAAAUUAGAGACGCGUUAGAGAAUCUAACGCUAGUAUUAGAAGAAUUGUGCAAGAGGUGAACAGGACGUUGAAUUGAUAACAGCCAAGCUUAACUAUAAACAGCCGGUUUGUUUUAUGCCCAUUCAGCUUGUUAAAGGCUUACCUCCCAUUGGGUGGAGAUUAAAACGUCAUUCAUUUUGCUUGAUAUUAUUGGCUAUGGAAAUCUAUGACGUAUGCCUCGACACCUCUCGGACAAUCCUCAAGUCACUUUUAGAGGAGUAGCAGCCAGUCACCAAGAUAGUACAGACGCACAACCCGUGUCGCUCUGACUUGAGUUACUCAAAGACUUAGACUCUGAUCAAGACGCAAGAGUCUUAAUAACUUUGCUUAUAAUCUUAGUCGUGUGAUUGAGUAGUUAAGAAGUGCACUGUUGUUGAGCUGUAAAGACAAUUUAUAUUUUCUAAAUAAACUGCAACACGCCA